rnacentral:rRNA from 1 species
CACGGAGUUAGCCGGUGCUUAUUCUUUAGGUAACAUCAGAUACUAUGGUUAUUAACCGUAAUACCCGUUCUCCCUAACAAAAGUGCUUUACAACCCUAGGGCCUUCUUCACACACGCGGUAUUGCUGGAUCAGGCUUUCGCCCAUUGUCCAAUAUUCCCCACUGCUGCCUCCCGUAGGAGUCUGGGCCGUGUCUCAGUCCCAGUGUGGCUGAUCAUCCUCUCAAACCAGCUAGAGAUCGUCGCCUUGGUGAGCCAUUACCUCACCAACUAGCUAAUCCCACAUAGGCUCAUCUCUUAGCGCAAGGCCCGAAGGUCCCCUGCUUUAAACCGUAGUCCACAUCCAGUAUUAGCCACCCUUUCGGGUAGUUAUCCUAGACUAAAAGGUAGAUUCCUAUGUAUUACUCACCCGUCCGCCACUCGCCACCGAAGAAAGUAAACUUUCCUCGUGCUGCCGUUCGACUUGCAUGUGUUAAGCAUACCGCAGCGUUCAAUCUGAGCCAGAUCAAACUCUC